UACGUAGGGGGCAAGCGUUGUCCGGAAUCAUUGGGCGUAAAGCGCGUGUAGGCGGCUCGGUAAGUCCGCUCUGAAAGUCCGGGGCUCAACCCCCGGGAGGCGGGUGGAUACUGUCGAGCUAGAGUCCGGAAGAGGCGAGUGGAAUUCCUGGUGUAGCGGUGAAAUGCGCAGAUAUCAGGAGGAACACCAUGGCGAAGGCAGCUCGCUGGGACGGUACUGACGCUGAGACGCGAAAGCGUGGGGAGCAA
rnacentral:rRNA from 1 species